ensembl:lncRNA
AAAAAUUCAAAAAUGUCGGACGUUAGCGGAGUCGGUGCGUUGACGGGGCAAUAUGCUUUCAAAUGGACCAAGGAACAAACGGAGGCGUUCAUACGUCUCCGUUUAGAAAACAAGCAGCUGUUUACCGGGGGGAGAGACACCGCGGCGAACGGAUAUCGGCUUAUUUUGGAGAAGAUGGGGCUCGAAGGGAGGGUUUCCCACGCCCAGGCAAAAAAAAAGUGGGACAACUUAAAAACCAAGUACAAGGAAUGUAAGUGUCCUGCCACAGGUCAAGGGACAGAGGAUGGCAAGGCGACGGCAGCAAAUUGGCCCUGGUUUGCCCUCAUGGACGAGGCAUUAGGGCAGUCUGCAGCAGUCUCGCCCCCUUGCCUUAGUGCCUCGAUCCAAGAGGAAAAACCAGGGCCAAGCACUGCACAAGAGGUAGAUGAAGGGAGAGGCGAGGAUGAGGAGACAGUAAGAGACAAGAGCAAAGAGAGAGCAGGGCACAGAGGAGAGAAGAGGAGAAGGGAGCGAGAGGAUCCAAUCCUACAGCUUCUAAAAGAGGAUAUUAAAUACCAGAGGGAGGCAGAUGAGAGAAGGGAAGCAGAGGCCAGAGAGAGGUCAAACCGCUUUUUUUUGCUGUUGGAGAGGUUGGCGGAAAAAUAAAGUCAAUUAAAUUGAA